AGCCCACUCACUCACUCGUCGCUUCCAGCAUCCCAAGCCCAAACCCUCGAUCCCCUUUCUCCACCACGGCCGUCAUGGCGCCGCCGCAGCCGCCGCUGGCCUCCAUCCCCAUCCCCGACGACCUCCUGGAGGAGAUCUUCCUCCGCCUGCCCACCCCGGACGCGCUCGCCCGCGCCUCCGCCGCCUGCACCUCCUUCCGUCGCGUCAUCAAAGGCUGCGCCUUCCGCCGCCGCUUCCGCGGGCUGCACCGGCCUCCGCUCCUCGGCUUCAUGGACGCGGCCGGAUUCCACCACGCCCAGGCGCCGCACCCCUCCGCCCCGCUCGCCGGCGCCCUCGCCCCCCGCGCCGCCGAUUUCUCCUUCGUCCCGGCCGUCGUUUCUUCUUGCUCCUACUACGUCCCGCCGGGCGUCCAAGACGACGGGGAAGGCCCCCGCUGGCGCCCCCGCGACGUCCGCGGCGGCCGCGUCCUCCUCGAUUGGAUCUCCCUCCACCCCCGCACCGUGCGCAUUUGUUGCUACCACGAAGACGACGCCGAAGUAAGCAUCCUCAUGGACGUUAAUGAGCUCACCCCGCGUGACCGCCCCACGUGGACCGAACGGGAGCGGUGCAACGCCGCCGACUUCCACCUCGCCGUCUGCGACCCCCUGUCCAGCAGAUACGUGCUGCUUCCAACCAUACCUGAAGACCUCGCCGCCCAGCCGCAAGAUUCUCUUUGGGAGUUCGAGCCUGUACUUGCUCCAAACACCAGCGAGAAUGGGGAGGAGGAACCCUUCAAGGUGAUAUGCAUAGCAAAAUACCAGACCAAGCUCGUCCUCUUUGUCUUCCCGUCCACAACUAUGCAAUGGUGUAUGGUGGAGUCUCCUGUCCUCCCUUCUUUGGAUCAGAUGUCCUGUUUUGACUGUGUGCGCGGUCGCUUCUACUGGACAGAACCUUAUACUUGGAGCGACCAUUUGAUGGUGCUGGACACGUGCACCAUGAGGUUUUCCACUGUCGAUCUUCUCACCGGUUACCAUCAGGAGCUCAGAGAUCUGCACCACCAGAACUCUUAUCGUGGACGUCCGAAUUCAGUUGUUACGGGUAGGGAAGGAACCCUUGAGAUGUUUUCUCUUGUCCGUGAGAAUGGCUACUUUGCUCUCUACCAUACCUCUCUACAGAAUAAUUCCCAAGAAUGGAAGCUCGAGAAGGUCAUAAGCCUGCCAGGGCAGUAUCAUGACUAUUCCAUUUCCACAGUGGGUGCAGCUGAGGGAUUCUUGUUCUUCCAAGGCGCUCCAAAAGGUAUUCGUAUUGAGAAUGUGGAUUGUUACUCAAUGGAGGUCAAGACUUAUGAAAUUACCAAAGUCUGUACAAGGAUGGAGCAGUUCCUCAAUCGCAAACGUGCUCUCCCCUGCUUUAGCUUCCCGCCGCUGUUAUUGGAACCAACUAUCUGAUCAACUGAUCAGAGCUCGCUAGCUUGAUCUUGCUUGGGCCAUACAUCUGGAGUAGGAUGGCGGAUGUUCAAGGUGGCGAUGAUGUAGUAUGACAUGUCCGUAUCAAGUAGCGUAUGUAUGUAAGCAGGAUAUGUUGUCAGCAAGUUGAAUUUGACCAGCACUGAUGUCUAAGACUUUGGUUUAUGUUGCGUACUGAUUUUUGUGUUGGAACCUGGAAGCUUCGGUUUUAUCUGCUUGGGUCCUGCCUUUCAAUAUAUGUCCUUAGUUGAGAGCAUCAGGUCCUCUAUCAAUCAAUAUUCUCAGGAAUUUAAGAAACCUUCUCCAUGUUCAAAAGGCUGAAAGCAGGGGGCAUAAAAAAGGCCUCUGUGCGCACCUUCUGCUCUUCCGUCAGCUUGACUUUGCUCGGCUUGCUGCCACAAUCAAUACCUCCAUCCUGAUGCUUCUCUGCCUCUCUUGGAGCCAAGGGUUCUCCAGAGCUUACCUCACCAGGUGUGAUUUCCAGGCUCCUAUUGUAUCAUCAGCAAUAAAAUAGCAUCACAAGUCCGCAAAACAUUCAUACUGAACAACAAAGUCCAAACACUAAUGUGCAGAGUGGCUAGGCACGGCUUUCGUGUUAUUUUUUAGGAAGUUUCUAUUUCAUUUUUGUUGAUGAGAUGAAUCACGUUGAACUUAGAUGUCUCUUUACUUACAGCUAACAACAACUGUGUCAAGUUCAUCAGGAUUGGGUCUUUAGGAUGAAAAGGAAUUAUAAAAGAAGCCACACGAUCCAUGUACGAUCAGAAUUUAUGAUCAUGUUGGUGAGGGGUUUUCUGCAACGUUCCACCACAUUACAACCCGGCCCCACUUGUCAGAAAGUGAUGAAACGGGCUAAAUCACCCGACCAGUGCUUUUUGCAAUGACUUAACAAAUUUUCCGGUGUUUUCUGCAACGGAUUAACGAGUUGGUGGUUUUCUGCAAACCUAGCCACAAAUGUGGUGGUUUCUUGCAAUUGACUCUACAUUCCAGGAUCAAGGCAUCUACAGCUAUGAAAUAUUUUCAACCUGUCCUCACUCCCACUAUCUUGAUUGGGAAUUCACUCUAUUGGUCGUAUGUUCUUGGCGGAGCUUGCAUAAUUGAGUUUGAUUUGGACACGCAGAGGCUGGCACUGAUAGAGCCGACGCCAAAUGCAUAUGCCCACGACGAUACCGUUUUCGCGGUUAUGCCAGCUGAAGAUGGUGGCCUUGGCUUAAUCGUUGUGUUGGGCUUCCGCGCCCAACUAUGGAAGUGGAAAGCUGGUGUUCGUCAUGAUGAUGCGACAUGGGUUCUCGGAAGGACUGUUGAACUAGACAAGCUUCUUCCUCUAGGAGCAGCAGGCAAGAGGAAGCCUCUAGCCUUAGUGGGAUUCGACGAGGAAAACAAUGUGACCCUUGUAAGGACAUCUUGUGGCAUCUUCCUGGUCCAUCUCCAGUCAAUGACGUUUAAGAGACUCUGCAACAGUGGCAGCGCCAGGGAUAUCCAUAUCUACAAUGCAUUCUCAAGUUUCUAUGAUGCAGGUAAUACACAUGACAAGAUCUAAGCUCGCUAGCUUGAUCUUGCUUGGGCCAUACAUCUGGAGUAGGAUGGCGGAUGUUCAAGAUGGCGCUGAUGUAGUAUGACAUGUCCGUAUCAAGUAUCGUAUGUAUGUAAGCAGGAUAUGUUGUCAGCAGGUUGAAUUUGACCAGCACUGACACCUAAGACUUCUUUUUAUGUUGUGUACUGAUGUUUGUGUUGGAACUUGGAAGGCUUGGGUUUUAUCUGCUUGUGACCCGCCUUUCAAUCUAUGUCCUUAGUUGAGAUGAUCUAUUUAUCAGUAACUUAGAGUGAGAGAACUUAGCUUUUAUCUGCAUGAGUGGAGUGGAUGAGUUAGUUAAUUUCUUCUAUUGACAUGCUUGUGAUGAGUUCAAAUUCUGGAUGAGUAUGUUCUGCACAAAUGAUGGCUUGGCUGUACUAGAGCUGCAUGCAAACAUUAAACUUCAGAGCUUCAGAAUUCUCAGAUAAAUGUACUCAAAUUUGUGUUGAGAGCA